GCUGCUGCCUCUCGGCCAUGCCUACUGUCGCGGCCUAAGCCCGUCCGCUCGCCGCAAGCAUGAAGGAAAGCGGGGACUCAAAGGACCAGCAACUCAUGGUGGCGCUCAGAGUCCGGCCCAUCAGCGUGGCAGAGCUGGAGGAAGGAGCCACCCUCAUUGCCCACAAAGUGGAUGAGCAGAUGGUGGUUCUCAUGGACCCGAUGGAGGACCCUGAUGACAUCCUGCGGGCAAACCGCUCCCGGGAGAAGUCCUACCUGUUCGACGUGGC